rnacentral:rRNA from 1 species
UACGGGGGGUGCGAGCGUUAAUCGGAAUUACUGGGCGUAAAGGGCACGUAGGUGGUUUGUUAAGUGAGGUGUGAAAUCCCGGGGCUUAACCUGGGAAUUGCAUUUGAUACUGGCAGUCUAGAGUACUUUAGGGAGGAGUAGAAUUCCCGGUGUAGCGGUGAAAUGCGUAGAGAUCUGGAGGAACACCGGAGGCGAAGGCGGCUCCCUGGGAAUGUACUGACGCUGAGGUGCGAAAGCGUGGGGAGCAAACAGG